rnacentral:rRNA from 1 species
AGCGAACGUUUGCGGCGGGCCUAACACAUGCAAGUCGAACGAGAUCUCGGGCUUCGGUCCGGGUGAAAGUGGCGCACGGGUGCGUAACACGUGGGUAAUCAACCCUCUGGAUCGGGACAACCCGGGGAGACUCGGGCUAAUACCGGAUACGUCGUCGGAGCUCUAGGGCUCUGACGGGAAAGGCCUGCAAGGGCUACCAGAGGACGAGCUCGCGGCCCAUCAGCUAGUUGGUGAGGUAAUGGCUCACCAAGGCGAAGACGGGUAGCUGGUCUGAGAGGAUGAUCAGCCACACUGGAACUGAGACACGGUCCAGACUCCUACGGGAGGCAGCAGUGGGGAAUAUUGCGCAAUGGGCGAAAGCCUGACGCAGCGACGCCGCGUGGGGGAUGAAGGUUUUCGGAUUGUAAACCCCUUUCAUGAGGAAAGAUAAAGUGGGUAACCACUUAGACGGUACCUCAAGAAGAAGCCACGGCUAACUUCGUGCCAGCAGCCGCGGU